CACUCCUGGUCACACCAUUCUAAUUUGAAAAAAAACAAAAAAGACCAACCACCAGCUGUUCCCUGCUCGGCCGUAGCCGAAAGAGACGUGGUGGCCUCAUCGAAGGGGAAAGCACAGCGAAGCUUAAACCGUCACCCUCCCCGACAUCGGUUAGCGGGUCCGCGCUCCUUUCCCACACGGCGUGACCUCGAAGGCGAGACCGCGCGAUAUAAAGCCACGGCUGCCGGGGCGGAGGCAGGUAAUGCGUCACGGCCUGGACGGCUGAGAUACUGUCGGCGUCUGGGAUCCGAUGGGAAACUCGCUGGGGUGCUCGGCCUCUGGCGAGCGGCUGGUCUCGGCGGCCAGGGACGGCGAUCUGGUGGAGGCCCGGAUGCUGCUGGAGUUUAACCCUAAGUACUCCACUUUUGGUGGCCUCAACUCCCCACUCCACUUCGCCGCCGCCAAGGGCCACAACGAGAUUGUUAUGUUGCUGCUCGAGAAAGGUGCCGAGGUGAAUUCGAGGAACUAUUGUGGCCAGACGGCGUUGAUGCAAGCUUGUCGGCAUGGGCACUGGGAGGUGGUGCAGACUCUGCUGCUCUUCGGAAGCAAUGACUACAGAUUCACGACCAUUGUCCUUGUUCACAAUUUAAAGUGCAGGGCUUGGGAUUUGCUGAAUUGUGGAGCGGUAUUUAAACUGCAGUGGUUGAGUCCAAGCCUGCACUUUCUUCAAGAUUUAUAGGACAUUGGAUUGUUUGUUGCACGCUUUGGAAGGACUUCUCAUUGUUUCGAGGAUUCUCCAUUAAUUCAGAAGCCGUAAGUGCGGAUCUAAAGUUCAGAUUAUUUCCUGGUAUAUCAUCUUGAUCUACCGUCAAAGAAUAUGUGCAAAUGUGCAUCAUCCAUACACAACCAGACAACUAUUUGCAUAUCCACUAUUUUUUCUAAGAGGAUUGAGAGUAAUAUCAUCUACUCUAUACCACUAGGUAAAUUUUCUGACAUAUUCGAGCCUAUUCCAUAUUUUCUUAAAAAAUAUUUUACAUCUAUGUACCAAAAAAAAAAUUUAUAUCUAAAUUUUUAUUAGUUGUCAUAUGCAUUUAUAGGCCUACUAGAACUUGACCUAGUUUUUAUAGGAUUGGCAAUCUUUCCACUAAAAUGACAGAGCAGCAAACAUCCCAAAAAGAUUAAAUAGUAAGUGUCACAUGUCAUGCAAUGGUUGCAGUUUAAGAUGUUGCUAUCACCGAUUGCUAUUUAUUGUUAAGAGAGAAAAAGAUGAUACAUUCUAGUGGAAGAAUUAAUAAUUCUAAGACAAUAAUAGGUUGACAACCCUUAAGACUUAUUGUCAAGAAUUAUUGAUUAAUUAUCUUAAUGAUGUAAGGUUAACAAGAAGAGUCUCAUGUUGAACCUCCAAAUGCGUCAAGAAGGAAUAAAAAUAGUGAUUUCAUGCUUUGAUACUAUAAAUGUUAAGAAGCAACAGAGGAAAUCACGUAAAGUUGUUUCAGGCACCCACCAGACAAAAAGGAUUGAACAGGUAUCUCUUUAAUAUUUCUUUUAAGAAGUUGAUCUAGUGUCUGGUUUGAAGAUGGUACAAACAUGUAGAAUUAUCGGGCAUAAUGACCCAAGAAACUUACUUGGUACUUAAAUCGCUAAGCUGUAUGUCCGUCGUAAGGAUAGUGAAGGGAUGAUCACAAAAUUCAUGCUGGUAAUUCCACUAAUGUUCUUACUGAUCGUUUUCUUGAUGCUUAGGGAAGCUGAUCAUUUCAUUGGUAUUGCCUCCAUUCACUUAUUCCUUUCCCUUUCCUUAUUGAACCUUUGUGACAGAUCAAGAAACAAAACUUACCAUUACAGAGUAGUUCAUUACGUGUUCACGUGCUAGAACAUCACAAUGUAAAAAAGGGCUAAGAAGAGCAAUGACGUACAAGUUAGGGCACUAGGCUAUAAACCAUAAUUGUGGACUAUAAUGGAAAUGAUGGUCUCAACCUAUUGUGCAUAAGAAAAGCAAAACAGAAAUGAAAAUAGAAGCUCUUGAAAUCAGAAGAAAGGUUUUAAUUUAUAUCUGACCAACCUUUCAGGGUAAUACAUUUUAAAUGUGUAUGAUUCUCUCUCCUUCUUUUUUUAUUUUUAUUUUGAUAAGGUGGUUCAUUGGAACAAGUCUUGCAUUAAUAUAAUUAAGAGAAUCAAAAAAUAAAAUAUCCCAAAGUCAUCUUGAAAUAACCCCCCUCCCCUCACUAUCCAGAGAAUUUAUUUAGUAAUGCUCAACUACAAAAAGGUGCCACCCAAUCAGCCACUGAGUUCAUUUCAUGGAAGACAUGCCUAAUGAUCAGCGCAAUGCACCCUCUCAACAAUCUCAUGGCAACUCAGCCAUGAGUACAUUUUUGCAGCCAUGUUACCAUCGUGGCUGAAUCAACCUCAACAAGUUGGGUUACCCCCAAAAUUCGUUUGGUGGAGAUGAUCCCCACCCAGGUAGCAUGGUGGUAUAUUGUUCAUUUAUUAUAUAUCAUAUUAAUUAAACUAUGUAUCAUAAUUAGUUAAUUUAACUCUGUACAUAGUUAAUUUAACACUGCACACAGUUAAUUUGACAUUGCAUAUAGUUAAAUGAACCCUAUAUACAGUUAAUUUAACACUGUACACAGUUAAAUAAAUCCUACAUAAUUAAUUUAAUAUUACAUAUAAUUAAUUUAAUACUGCACACAGUUAAAUGAAUCCUGCAUACAGUUCAGUCACAGUUAAUUUAAUACUAUACAUAGCUAAAUUAAUACCAUGCACAGUUAAUUUAACACUGCACAUAAUUAAAUAAACUCUGUACACAGCUAAUUUAAUACUGCAUAUAAUUAAAUCAACUAUGUGCAGUAUUAAAUUAACUGUAUGCAGAGUUCAUUUAAUUAACACUGUAUAUAAUUAAUUUAUUAUUAUUUUUAAAAAAUAAUUUUAAAAAAUAAUUUUUAUUUAUUAUUGAAAUCAUCGAGGGUGCAGACUCAGAUUUUGGUACUAAAGGGAGGUUGUAGGUGUUCGACACAGAGCCACGGGAGCAGAUUCAAACUUAUCAUAGACUGAGAUGUCUGGUAUACUUUUGUCUCUCCUAUGUGGCAUCAACUCUUCAUUAAAUUGACUAAAUAAGAAUUACUACAAAUAUUAUAGUCAAAAAAAUUAAUUUUAAAAAUAUAGACCAUCGCUCCCCAGU